rnacentral:rRNA from 1 species
UACGGAGGGUGCAAGCGUUAUCCGGAUUCACUGGGUUUAAAGGGUGCGUAGGUGGGUCUGUAAGUCAGUGGUGAAAUCUUCGAGCUUAACUCCGAAACUGCAUUCGAUACUGCCGUGCUUGAGGACUGGAGAGGAGACUGGAAUUUACGGUGUAGCGGUGAAAUGCGUAGAUAUCGUAAGGAAGACCAGUGGCGAAGGCGGGUCUCGUGGACAGUUCCUGACGCUGAGGCACGAAGGCCAGGGGAGCAAACGGG